rnacentral:SRP_RNA from 1 species
GCUGGGUGCAAUGAUAUGUACCUAUAGUCCCAGCUACUCAGGAGGCUGAGGCAGGGAGAUUGCUUGAGCCCAGGAGUUCUGGCUAUAGUGCGCUCUGCCCAUGGGGUGUCCACACUAAGUUCACAUCAAUAUGGUGACCUUCCAAGAGUGGGGACCACCAGGUUGCCUAAGGAGGAGUGGACCUGUCCAGAUCAGAAACGGAGCGGGCCAACUCCCUUGCUGAUCAGUACUGGAAUGGCAUCUGUGAACAGCCAUUGCACUCUAGCCUAGACAACCUGGUGAGACUCUACCUU